AAAUAAACUGACGGGAGAACGUGCGCAGCUGAAGUCACCCGGAUCCGCCUGACUUCUGCCUGCCCUUCAGACAGACACUCCUCGCUCCUCGCGGUUUUGUGUGAUCACCGGCCUGACAUUAAAGAGAUGCUGCAAGAAAAGAAAUGAGCUUAUCUGGAUGCGGGGCUGUAAGGGGAGAUGAUGUCCUCCGGGCCCCGGACAAGGUCAGGGACCGCAAAGGACCACGGGGACACGCUGGAGAUCACGGCGCUCACACACAUACACACACAAGCACAUACAAAUACUCAAAA